AGCGUUUCAUCAUCUUCAAAUUCAUUCAAACAAACAGCACACUCCAAAGCUCCUUUACCAAUUUGAUGAUCCUUCACUUCAGCAUAAGUAAAAGUCGGAAAAGUCUCAAUAACCGCUGCAUCUAAUCCACGAGCCGCCGCAGCACGGCGGCGCAUGGAUAGAGCUCGCCGGACACUGCCGCUCAAUCCAGAAGCCUGAGUGCAGUGUCGAAUGUAAAUAGAAAAAGCAGCCAUGAAAAAGAGCGCAGCAAUAAGAACAAUUAUGAUAAUUGCCAAAGGAUGACUGAGCCUUGCAUAUUGAAAUUUAUUUCCAGUAGUUGGUGGCUGUGCGACUGAUUCGUCAAUUAAAGAAGAACAUGUGAAGAGAAACACAAAGAGAAGAUAACUAAGAAGAGGAGAUUCUUGCUUCAUAGAAUUGCCCAUAUCUCAUACUAAUCUGGGGAAGUAAGCUUUAUAAUUUUGAAUAUCAAAGAAAUUGAAAUAACUGUGGUUCGAUUCGUUUGGGGGUAUUAAAACAAAAAUGGUGGAUGGUGCAGAAGGAUCCUACUUGGCAGACAGAAUUGA
rnacentral:misc_RNA from 1 species